UUCCUUUCAAUGAAGGUUGCACUGCUGUUUUCUUUUACAAAAUUCAGCUUGUGAACCUCCUCCAUUAACUGAUGCUGCACUUCACAGAUGCUUGAGGAAGACAGCUGCAAACAUAAAGCCCUUUCCUGCCUCUAAAGUCAGCUCUUGGUGGAAAGGGAUACUCCAGAAGGGCCUCACUGCAACAUGUUUCUUAUGCAGAAUUUUGUCCAAACACAGUUGCCUAAACAUGCCUCUGGUUCAGAAGUGAAGGGGCUACCAUGGAUUUCUGCCCUAAAGUUUUCCCUAAAACACAAGAGAGGAAAAUAUCCAUUACUGACAAAUGCAGAAAGGGGGGAAAAAAAAAAAUGAACGUGAGCCUAUUGCUGAGAUCUCCAUUGAUAACACACACACAGAAGGACGUGUAAACAUCUGCUCACCAUGCAAAGUAAAUUUAGGAUUUCAUGUUGUAUUCAAGGAUCCAGACCUGCUGGAUGUCCAAAACCACAGCCCUGAUAAACUCUCCCUUAAAGCUUUUCAAAAAUGUCAGGUAUCCAAGGCUGGGUGAGUAUUCUGGCAAGGUGUUGCCAGACAUUUGUUCUUUUCUGAUGUUCCUACAGCCAUUGUCAGAGGGAAGCUCCUCAGAAAGAUGGAUUUCUCAUAUAUUUAGGGCUACCAAAAGUGUCCUUACCUUAGAAAUAGCUUUACCUAUCAGCCUGGUGUGUACUGAGCAGGCCUACAGAUGCAUAAUGCACAGCAAUUGAAGAGUGCCUGGAUUUUCAGAUUUGACACUGCACUGUUGACAAGCACUGCUGAGGAGCACAGAGCUCUCCAAGCACAUUUAUUAGACAAUAAGGUGGCAGUAAAGGGCUCUGAAUGAAUUGGCAUCCAAAUUAAGUAGCUUCAUAAACCACAAGUGUUGAAAGACAUUGCAAAACCAGUGCAGUUAGUAAUUAGAGAACCAGACAGGCUUAGAGAAAUUAAAACUGAGAGUGUUUUAUCACAUAUGUCCUGGAGAAGUCUAUGCAUUCUACAGAUAUUGCUUAGUGUUCUCAAAAUUUCCACAUGUACAGUUUUAAGCGUACUUAAGAUAAAUAAAAGAUAUUUAAAAGAUUAUUUUACACAUGGAA